rnacentral:rRNA from 1 species
ACGCUGGCGGCGCGCCUAACACAUGCAAGUCGAACGGAGAUCAUUUGGUAGAAGUUUUCGGAUGGACACCGGGGUGAUCUUAGGUGGCGAACGGGUGAGUAACGCGUGAGCAAUCUGCCUCAGAGUGGGGGACAACAGUUGGAAACGACUGCUAAUACCGCAUAAGCCCACAGCACCGCAUGGUGCAGGGGGAAAAGAUUUAUUGCUUUGGAGAUGAGCUCGCGUCCAAUUAGCUGGUUGGUGAGGUAACGGCCCACCAAGGCGACGAUUGGUAGCCGGACUGAGAGGUUGAACGGCCACAUUGGGACUGAGAUACGGCCCAGACUCCUACGGGAGGCAGCAGUGGGGAAUAUUGCACAAUGGGGGGAACCCUGAUGCAGCGACGCCGCGUGGAGGAAGAAGGUCUUCGGAUUGUAAACUCCUGUUGUUAGGGACGAUAAUGACGGUACCUAACAAGGAAGCACCGGCUAACUACGUG